AGCUAUUUUAUUUUAACAUACAGUCCAAGCUAACUUAGGUCCCAUCCUGGGACAAGAAAAAAGAAAUGAAUACAGUAGAGUCUCACUUAUCCAACGUAAACGGGCCGGCAGAACGUUGGAUAAGCGAAUAUGUUGGAUAAUAAGGAGGGGUUAAAUAAAAGCCUAUUAAACAUCAAAUUACAUUAUGAUUUUAAAAAUUAAGCACCAAAACAUCAUGUUAGACAACAAAUCCUCAGAAAAAGCAGUUCAAUACAUGGUAAUGUUAUGUAGUAAUUACUGUAUUUAUUAAUUUAGCACCAAAACAUCAUGUUUUAUAACAAAUCCACAGAAAAAGCAGUUCAAUAAAUAGGGCCUCUGGAAGUGUAAGGAGUCAGAUAUGGAGAAAUAAAGCAGCAUUAACUCAACAGUUUUUCUUCAGGUUCAGUCCUACUUUGUGAGCAUACUGUAGUUUUAAUCUCAUCUGCUUUCCCACUGCCCUGGAGUACUUGAGUGCUUAGGAUAUGAAUGCCUGACCAUAAACCAAAAUAAAGGACAGGUAUUAUUUCUCUAAAAGGGAAAGAAGCAAUAUUAUGUGAACACUAGAGUGAAAACAGCCAUCCCUUCCUAUAAGAUGAAUGCAAGAAUGUUUUGUAGCUCAUUCAGGGCUCUCACCAUUUCCUGUUCAGCGCCUGGCAAAUGGAGCAGCCGACUAAGUGUUGCUGCUUAGAGAAGUUUCUCUAUGCAGUAACAUGCAGAGCCCCCCCCGCCCCCCUCCUCCUCCUGGCGAGUGGAGUAGCUGGCUGCGUGUUGCUUGGCAACAACAUGCAGAUGGCCUUCCACUCCUCCCAGCGACUGGGGAAGCCAAGUGUUGCUGUUUAGAGAAGUUUCUCUAUGCAGUAACAUGCAGGGAGCCCUCCGCUCCCAGCGACUGGAAAAUCCGAAAGUGUUGCUGCUUAGAGAAGUUUCUCUAUGCAGUAACAUGCAGAUCCCCCCCCUGCGCCUCCCGGGGAGUGGAGCAGCUGACUGCGUGUUGCUAGGCAGCAACAUGCAGACAGCCUUCCGCUCCUCCUGGCGACUGGUGAAGCCGAAAGUGUUGCUGCUUAGAGAAGUUUCUCUAAGCAGCAACAUGCAGAAGGCCCCCCGCUCCCCCCAGCGAGCAGAGCAGCUGAUUGAGUAUCAGCAACAUGCAGAGGUCCUCCCGCCCUUCCCGACGAGUGGAGAAGCCCGCUGCAUUUUGCCAGGAAGGGCGAGACGCGGCAGUGCAGGCUGGAUGCUCUGAUGGGAGAGGCCUGCUGUGCUAGAGCAACCACUGAGCUGACUUGCGUCGGAUAAUACGGCAAGCCAUUGGACCAUGCAUUUGCACGAAAGCAGUCCAAAGUGAGCCUGGUAGACAAAGAGAACAGAUGAAAGAGCGGACCCUCAUCUAAUGGAAAGAGCAAGACGUCAGAAAGCAAGGUGUCAAAAAUAGAUGGAAACCCUGUACCUGAUUCCAUGCUCCAGAGAUUACGGUCCUUCAUCUCCAGGGAUGCAAACUUAGAAUGGUUAAUAAUAAAACUAUAGAAUCAUGGAUCAUAGAAGCAUAGAGAUUAAAGACACCACAAGGGCCAUCUAGUCCAACCUCCUGUCAGGUAGGAAAAUAUUUGGUGCCUCAAAUGGUAGACCUGUUUCUGAGUAUAUUUGACCUGCUAAUUCCAAAACUGGCACCAAUUUUCUCCUAUCAGGUUUUCUCCUAUCUAGUUUUUGAGAUACAGAACAUAUGCCAUAUUCCAGUCUUCAUCUGUUCACCCACAGAAACCCAUGACAAUCAUACCUAAGAAACUAGAGCUGAUGCAGUUAUCCAAUGCAAUUUUCUGAAUCAGUGCCCUAAAUAACCACAGGAACAGGCCUAAAAACCAAGAAAUAUUUCUUUUGUUUCAACUUUCCAAAGCUAACUAUUUGCAAAAAAUUUCUUCCAGAUGCAGUAAACCAAUAUGCAAUGUUUUAAAACAAACUGUUAUGCAAAAUGUGAUGUUUUAUGUACUUAAAUGCAUUUUUCUGGAGAAGAGAGAGCACAGCUUUGUGUUGUUGAAGGUUUUCAUGGACAAAACCACUGGGUUGCUGUAGGUUUUUUGGGCUGUAUGGCUAUGUUGUAGUAAUGCAGCCUUAAAAACUCACAGCAACCAAGCAAAACUUUCAACAGAUUCUCCGAGAUGUCACCAAGAACACUUCUACAUAACAAAACUGUUAAAAAGCACUAGCUAAGAGCAGCUGGUUUGGGAGUUGGCAACUAUAUAGAUGGGUGACACCUGGCUUGAAAACAAUAUAUAUAAAAGGCAUUUAAGAAAGAUCAGCAAACACGAGUCAACAGUGUGAUAUGGUAGAUAAAAAAGCCAAUGUGAUUCUAGGCUGCAUAAAUAGGAGUAUAGUGUCAUGAUUAAGGGACGUCUCGGGCCCCUUCCAUACAGGCCCUAUAUCCCAGGAGGAGAGGGCAAGUUUGUUUUCUGCUACUCUGGAGACCAGGACAUUGAGCAAAGGAUUAAAAUUGAAAGAAAAAGAAGUUUACCUAAACAGUAGAAAGAAUUUUCUGAUGGUAAGAGCUGUUUGGCAGUAGAAUAUGCUUUCUCGGAGUGGAGUCUCCUUCUGUGGAGGUUUCUAUAUAGGAAGAAAGUCCAUCUGUCAGGAGUGCUUUGAUUAUAUUUUCCUGCAUGGCAGAAUGGGAUUGGACUGGAUGGCCCUUGUUGUCUCUUCCAAUUUGGACUGUCUAUUCCAGAAGCACAUAAGCUAUAUUUGUCAUCCAAACAUCAAAUUAAAGUUACCUGCACAUGAGAAAAUCAAAGAAUCAUAGAAAGCUACCUACCAAUGGCUACAUCUCAAGAGGAAGGAUGCUGCAACCUCGCUGGCUGGCUGGUUUUCAAGCUUGCGACCCUGCUGAAAGGCAAAUCUAGGCCUAAAAACCAAUAAAUAUAAACAAAAAGCAAAGUGGUAAAUCCCGAGUUCUUAGGAGCUCCACUCACACAUAAUCCCCUGGCAACCUGCAGAAGCAGCAACAAACAAAAGAGUCUUCCACCUAUCUUCUCAUGCUGAUUAAAAUACAUACAUAUACUGGUUUCUAUAGAAAUGUGUCGACUAACCCCAUGCCAGGGCCAGCCGCCAAACACCAAAGGGUUGAACGGGAGCCAAACCCUGACAGAUUGUACAUUUCGUGGAUUUUACUGAUGUACACUAGUUUUGAUCUACACAUAUAUAAAUCAUUCAAAGUGAAAACUGCGGACUGCUACUGUAUCUAUAGCAGUUGUGUAGAAGAUGGAUUUUCAGCUCGUCACACAACCAGAUAUAAAGCAACACCUACAAUGAUCUCUUCCACACAAUCCCUUUAAAGGAAUAAGAGUAAGAUACAAAUACAUACAUAUUUGUAAAUGAAAUAAUAAUAAAUAUUAUAGUGGGGCUCAACUUUA